CAGAAAAUAGCUUAUACAAAGUUUAUUUUUUACGUUAAUAAGAAAAUUUAAUUGUUUUUUCUGA
rnacentral:tRNA from 1 species